rnacentral:lncRNA from 1 species
GGGGACCCACCCUGGGCAGUCCCCGCCGCCACUCCGUAGUAUGAGACACCGGGCACGGUGACUCCCGCCGCUGUGGCUGCUACGUGGGUUCCGUGGCCGUCUACAUCCCUUGGUGUCUCAAACUCUUUGUCUCCAUUAGGGUCACGGUAAUACCUUGCUCCAAUUAUCUUCCUAAGCAAAAUAAAAAAUGAUCAUAUUUAUCGAAUAAACAAGGUUAAUGAUGAUGCGAUUUACAUUUAAGCUUGAUUAAGGGUAUUUUUUACCUGUUACAGUUUGAUGAAUUGAAGUUAAAGGAGUUCAUACAAGUGCCUUUCCAACGGGAUGGAACGGGACCCAUUCCCUUGUCGCUAAAGCUUGCUGACUCUGGCCAUAUACCUGAAUAGAACUCCGUUUAUCAGUUAGUUAACUUGU